UUGGGAGCUCACUGGCUUCGAAGUCAUAGGAACUCCGAAGUUAAGCGAGUUGGGGGCUAGAGCAACCCCAGGAUGGGUGACCCACUGGGAAGUUGCUCGUGAGCUCCCAGA
rnacentral:rRNA from 1 species